GAGGAGAGGAGGCGGCGCGGGUCGUCGAGGAAGACGGGGAGAUGCAUGUGCUUAGCGCCGGAACGACGGAUCGGUCAUCGAGGAAGAGCGGCAAAAGGUGCGGCGGAUAAAAUCGAUUUGCUGCUGUCAUAUAUAAACGUGUUUAUCAAUGUCAUAGUAUGUUAAUUAUGUUUAGAUUAUAGUAUUAUAAUAUAUGGAUAAUCAGUUUCGUUAUAAAUUUUAUCGAAAGUUGUCAGUAUCAUCUGACACCGACCCUCCCUUCUACUGUAGAUCUACCUCUGGGCAGUCGAAGAAGGUGGCGGAGGAUGACAGGUCGAGGGUGAGUAGAUGGCGCAGCGGCGCGGAUUUGACGAUCGAAUCGGUAUGUUGCAAAAUGAGUACCUUAUUCAUUUGAGUCUCUUUUUUUUUUGCGGGAACAUAUAGCUUUAUUGAUUAAGUAAUAGGAUUACACUCUUAUUGCAGUACAUGCUUAACACAGGACGGGGCAUGAUCGCGCCAAACCGCGUAAUGUGCCGUCCGUUUAGCAAACUGAGCAAGUUCAUAAGAUACCCUAUUGCACUCUCUUUUGCUGGAUUUUUCACAUUUUGGUCCUUUUAAAAAACUUAUUUCGCAAAUAGACCCCUGAAAAAACUUAUCCCAGAAAUGGUCCUUUUUGGGGCGCCAGAGUGGCUGGCGCCGUCAUCCAACGGGACGGCGCCAGCCUCUCUGGCGCCGUCCUCCUGCCACCGUGGCGCACGCGAACCGACGUGGCAGGAGGAGGGCGCCAGCAUGGCUGGCGCCGCCGCCUCUAUUCCUGUUUCUCUGUAUGGAGUUGCAACGGUGUCAUUUUUAUUUUAUUUUUGAUGUUUUUUCACACUCAGGAUCACGAUACAACCAACCACAAAAAAAUUUAAACUCGAACUACCACUUAGCUAAGUCUGAAAAUAUCUAGCAUACCACUUAGUCUACUUUGCACCUUCACUAAAAUUAGACCAUAACUCCUUUAGUAAAACUCUUUGAUCAACAUGUUAAACAUAAUGCACUCUACCACUAUAUGAAAUUACUUAAUCUAAUUCAAAAUAUAACCACAUGAAAUGACAUAUAUAAGUUAAACAGUACAUAGAGAUGCAAUUUUUUUAUUUUUAUUUUAUUUUUUUGAUAUUUUUUCACACUUAGGAGAACAUAGGAACCAACCGUAUAAAAAAUAAACUCAAACGGACAAAAUAUGUGACAUGUAGAAUUUUCCAAAACUCUACCGAAACGGACAAAAUAUGUCAUCUAUUAAAAUAGGCGUAACUUUCUCAUACGGACUCGGAAUCAGGCAAAUAAUAUAUGCACGGACAUCUACAGAAAAAGUUACAUCCGAUUCUCCCCGCUUUGUCGGGUUCGGCGAUAUUAAAACCUCCAAAUUCCGUUUGCAAGAUUGUGUUUUCGAGGAGAGAAGUUUUUCGGUGGAGCUUUGGAAAAUUCCACAUGCCACAUAUUUCGUCCGUUUGAGUUUAUUUUUUACAUGGUUGGUUCCUGUGAGUUCCUAAGUGUGAAGAAAAUAUCAAAAAAAUAAAAUAAAAAUAAAAAGGUUGCACAUCUCUCUCCUCUGCACUAGUUCGGAGAGAGGAGAGGAGAGGAAAAAUUCUACAUGUCACAUAUUACGUCCAUUUGAGUUCAAUUUUUUUAUGGUUGGUUCUUGUGUGUCCCUAAGCGUGAAAAAAAUAUCAAACAAAUAAAACAAAAAUAAAAAAUUUCGGGGGGGGGGGGGGCGCCAGCCACUCUGGCGCACUCCCCCUAGCCACCUCAGCAUCGCCCCGCCACGUCGGCAGGGGGACGGCGCCAAAGAGGCUGGCGCCGUCCUGUUGAAUGACGGCGCCAGCCACUCUGGCGCCCCAAAAAGGACUAUUUUUGGGAUAAGUUUUUCUAGGGGUCUACUUGCGAAAUAAGUUUUUCAAAAGGACCAAAAUGUGAAAAAUCCAGCUCUCUUUUGCUAGGAUGCACACGCACCAUCUGAAGAGUUGCCAUUGCUCGCCGAAGCUUCUCUGAUCUGAAAGGACCAUUGCGAUCUGUCUUGUACUUUGCUAGUCAGCCUUGUUGCUACCAUUGCACAGUCCAUUUCCAAUUCGACCCGCAUUUUUAGGCCUUCGCAACACGCCAGGAUUUCCGCUUCCUCCGCAGCCUUGCAUUGCCGAAUGAAUUUCCACGACGAUAGCAGGGCUUGGCCUUCAGAGUUCCAGAGAUAUGCCGUGAAUGCACCAUCAACGUUGAUCUUUGCCCAUCCUGUUGGCGGCGCCUUCCAAGGUGUUAAUCUUCUUUGACCCUCUGCUGCUCUCAGGCUUUGGAUGCGUGCGGCUGGUCAUUGUAGAGAGCUGUCUGCUUUGCCCUUUAAAUCACUUGUUUUUUUGUCGGAUGAGCAGCAGUUUCUCUGCAUAGUUUUGCAGGAACUGGACAGAGCCAUCUACCGAGCUGUUGCCUUUGCCAUGAAAAGAGUCAUUCCGCCAAAUGAGAUCCUCUGCAGUCACUGCACCCCUACCAUUGUCACUGACAUAUGGGCCCGGAGGUCAUUGGGCCCACAUGUCAGUGACGAUGGCACUCUGCAGUCGACUGCAGAGGAACUCAAUCCCAUUCCGCAAGUGCCAUGCUCGCCGUAGCAACAUGAGGGUAAGUGAUAUCAUCUGCGGUUCUGCACUUCUGCAUGAUCCAGCAAGAGAAGUAACCAAUCAGGUUCGGCUUGCACAAAUUCACUUUCCGGCGCUGUGGCAUGGCACAUUGGCACCCAUCCUCCUGAGCAAAUCCACAUAUUUUGCACGUCGGCCUUUUUAUGAUGCGUCGGCGACUUGUGUGGCCAAUCUGAGUUGCUGAUCAGGUAAGUUUAAGUAACUAAGUAUAUUGUGUGGAUGUAGAUUGGCAGAACAUACUUGUGGCACUUGUUUACCUUCACGUCGAUAUAACAUAUUUUACGUCCUUUUUUUAUUAUUCUGAACAGGUAUGUGUCCCUCCUGAGGAUUGUACAAUUUAUUCUAAUCUGAGCGGUUAUAAACAUCUAAUGCAUUUUUUUUUGUCUAAACAGGGAAUGUGAUUUCAACAAUUUAUGAAGAAUCUGGUUUCCUGUGCUAUGUCGGAAUGUGGGUACAUUUUGAUUAGGGAUGCAAGCGGGGCUGACAAGAGGGUUUUUUUGUCCCGCUUAUUCCACUUCUAGUUCAUUUUUUCUUCUAAAUUUUGUACUACCAUGCGGGAAAUAGACUAACAAGCGGGUUUUUAUGCGGGUAGCGGGACUACCCACUUGCAUCUCUAAAUUUGAUUUAGUAAGGACAUGCUUACAAUCUGCUUGAUCCCUCAGUUAGCACAAUCUUAAUUUCCUUUAAAUAAUCUUUGGAUAAUGCCUUGAUUUCCUGUUAUAUUUUUUUACUGUGACCAGUACAUAAUAAAGCUAUUUGUUUCCACAAAUCUUUGAACAGAACUAUAAGUUCUUUUUUAUACGAAUAUCGUGGUAUCUCCGACGAACAUUAUAGUAGACGAAACAAUUUGUGUAUUAUCUGAACUUUGCAUAACAAACAAGUUACCUAUUUACUCCCUCGGUUAAAUGCAUUCCAUUUUCUGCUAUUUGUACUGUUGGGUGGCUGCUGAAUAUAUAUUUUUCCUUUUAUCUCUUCAUAAAAGAGAAUAAAGUUUCUGUAUAAUUUAUUUAAGGCAGUUCCCAACUCACACAUAUCAUUGUGUGAACAUAUAUGUCGCAGUGUCCGAAUGGAUUAAAACUGAAUAUCUGUGGUGUGCUAACUGCAUUAGAAGUGAAACAUGAAAAAUUCUUGAAAGCAGUAGGAUUGUUUAGUUUUUUUUAUUAUCAAAUUGAACUGAUAAUAAUUUCUUGCUUAUUCUUUAAAUAUGGAUAUAAUUCCACACUACUGCAUUAAUAGUCACUUAAGUUGUCCCAUUUAAC
rnacentral:lncRNA from 1 species